GUUUGGGCCUAUGCUGUAUGCUGAGCAGGGAUGCUGUAUCUCCAGAGAGUACCUUCGUCAAACAUCAUGAUCCUUAGCUGAUGUAUACUGAAGUGGCUGCACUGAUUUCAAUGGAGCUAUGCCAAAUUACAUUACAUCAGUGGUCUGGCUGAAACCCUAUCUCCCUUGACAUCAUUGGCAAAGUUCCCGUUGUCUUCAGCAAAGCAAUUAUUUCAGCGUAUAUGCUCUGUGUAUAGAGACUCUACUCAGCGAGUGAAGAGCAAGCUGCAAGUCCUUGAUCAACAUAUUUAGAGAAGAGAAAUUUAAGGAGAAAGGGCAUUAUCUUUGAUAGUGUUUUAAAUGGCAGGCACUGAAGGAAAUUAACAAGCAGCGACUGGCAAGUCAUGGGAAAACAUUUUGAGAUUCUACCUUAUGUUGGUUUGGUUUCUAGCGUCUAAUUUUACACUUCCUGCUUUUGUCAGUAUUCUUAUUUCCACUCCCAUUUCCUACAGUGUGAUGACUUAGAAAGAACCCUUCCUUUGGAAAAGGAUUUCUGUGUAUGUUAGUGUUUUUUGCAAAAGCAUACAUAGGCAACUAGGUCACAGAACUCCAAGCACAGAAGUAUCUUAGGUGUGCAUGAGAACUGAAUCCUGACUGAUUCUGAAGGCAAAUCAUAGCCAGAAAGCUGAAAAAGAUGCAGGACUGUUUGUUAGCUUGUUUGUUCCUUUCUUUCCUGUUUGAUUCAUGUCAUCGCAGCAAGAAAAAGAAAUUUAGAUCUUUCAGUUGGUCCAUUACUUUGAAUAUCCCACCAUAAUUAAAUCAUGAUGAUUACUGUGAAGUCUUAAGUUUAUUUCUGGCUCUAUUUUUUAUCAUUUUUCUGCAUCUUAAUUUUUAUGUUUUACAAUACAUGUAGUGAUGCUAAACUUCUGAACAAUGUGCUUUGAGAUCCUUGUAAAAAAAAAAAAAGUGCUAAAUGUUUUACUGCUGUUGAAAUUCUGAGAAGAUAUUCAGCAACUUAUGCUAGGUUGAGAUCUCAAAAAAGACCUCUGGUCAUUUGAAGUCACAUUGUAAUGAUUACAAAUGAAUAGAAGUCCCAUCUAGACUCCUCCUGUAAAGAAAUUAAAAUAUCUUCAGCAAAGCUAUGACAUCCACU